rnacentral:rRNA from 1 species
CCUACGGGUGGCAGCAGUGGGGAAUCUUGCACAAUGGGGGAAACCCUGAUGCAGCGACGCCGCGUGAGUGAAGAAGGAUUUCGGAAUGUAAAGCCCUAUCAGCAGGGAAGAAAGUUAGGAAGGUACAUGACUAAGAAGCCGAGGAUAACUACGCAGCAGCAGCCGCGGUAAUACGUAGGAGGCAAGCGUUAUCCGCAUGGACUGGGAGUAAAGGGAGCGUAGACGGCGGUGUAAGUCUGAUGUGAAAGGCGGGGGCUCAACCACCGGACUGCAUUGGAUACUGUGAGACUGGAGUGAAGGAGAGGAAAGUGGAAGUCCUGGUGUAGCGGUGAAAUGCGUAGAUAUUAGGAGGAACACCAGUGGCGAAGGCGGCUUACUGGUCUGUAACUGACGCUGAGGUUCGAAAGCGUGGGGAGCAAACAGGAUUAGAUACCCGAGUAGUC